AUUCAUCUGAUGAGUCGCAAAUAGGACGAAACAGGAGUCCUGGAU
rnacentral:hammerhead_ribozyme from 1 species